ACCCCCACCACCCCCCCGACUCAUUGAUGUGAGAGAGAGUCUUUUCAGUGGAUCCUCAGACGAUAAAUGAUUACCUCUGUUAAGAUGGAGCUGUAAGCCGAAGAGACUGCGUGAUGAUGUGAUAUUGAAGGCCCGGUGUGAAUCCCCCCAACCACAGGGCACCACCACGCACGCAGCCCACUCUUAUAGGCCCGCGAGCUACACACUGAGUGCACUGACUGUCACACCGACACCUUCUUAAUAUCCAGCCUCAUUAACAAUUCAUGUUUCCAGUGCAUCAAAAACCGCAUUUGUCUUUGUUGGUGCAUCUCCACCGUCAGAUGGAUCCUUUUACAAAGAGAGUAUCGUUGUGUAGUUGUUGGGGUUUUGAGUUUUUCAACGGAGUCCAACAAACAGGACAAAGAACAGAAACGAGCAGAUGUUGUGAAAUAAAAUAAAUGCAAGUACCGGACGUUACAUGAAGUAAAGGCAAAGCAACGAGACGGAAUGACUCAAACGCUUGUUAAGGCGUAGUUACGGUUGUGAUGAUAUGAAAGUGAACAUUUGUCAUCACAGUCAUCGUGGGUCAACAUGACGUCACUGCAAUCUUAACUUGUAUACUGUAUGUAUGCCAAUGCACUCUAUUAUUAGCAUUAAGCUAGCCUAGGUUCUGCUGUUAGUUAAUGUUAAUGAGUCACAGUUAUUGCUGUUUUUUUGGUUAAAUCAGCAGGACUUAGUCUAGUUUAUGGUUGUGCGUUUUCAGAGAGACGCAAGGACACGCACACGCAAGAGCCCCUGGCUGACCACCUUUUGUUGUUGGUAAUUUCCUGUAUUUUUCCCCCAGAAGGUUAUUUCGUACAAAAUUGUAUUUGCUAAAUCUGGGUCUUAAUUUGUUUAUUAAAACCCUCUUGUCGUUUUUACUACAUCCCCAGAGCUGACGGGAAUCGCUUUAAUAAAUAGUUUCAUAUCAUUGACAUUUUAAUACAUAUGUUCAGAUAAACGUUGUACUCUGGGGGAAUACUUUGCUUUGGUCAUCCGUAGUUGUUUAGUAACAAGUCCUACGGGACAAUAACCACACCCCGUGGUAGCGGUGGACACAUUAGCCUUUACAAAAUCUGUUCAGCUUGAAGACAAAUGGUGGUUCAAACACACAAGGGCCUUUUGACAGGCAGACGCGUAGUGAGCAACCACUCGCUUUCUUUGGAGAAACAUCACAUUCUGUCUCCACUUGGUUGACUCGGGAUACAUUUCCUGGAAAGCGUGACAUGGUGAACACAUCAAAUCACAAUUAUACUUCUGACCACAAGAAUCACUGAACAUGAAUUAGUUUCCUUGUCACUAAAACCAUUUAUUUAAUGUGUCAAACGUGCGUAAAGUGCAGCUCCAGGAAACCAAGACAGGUUGUUGGAUGAAGAGGAGUGAGUUGAAAUUUGU
ensembl:lncRNA